rnacentral:rRNA from 1 species
CCUACGGGAGGCUGCAGUGGGGAAUAUUGGGCAAUGCGCAAGACUGACCCAGCAACGCCGCGCGAAGGAAGAAGGCUCUCGGGUUGUAAAAUUCUUCUAUUAGGGACGAAGCAAGUGAAGGUCACUGAUGAAUAAGCCACGGCUAAAUACGUGCUAGCAGCCUCGGUAAUACGUAGGUGGCAAGCGUUAUCCGGAUUUACUGGGUGGAAAGGGCGUGUAGGCGGGAAAGCAAGUCAGAUGUGAAAACCAUGGGCUCAACCUGUGGCCUGCAUUUGAAACUGUUUUUCUAGAGUACUGGAGAGGCAGACGGAAUUCCUAGUGUAGCGGUGAAAUGCGUAGAUAUUAGGAGGAACACCAGUGGCGAAGGCGGUCUGCUGGACAGCAACUGACGCUGAGGCACGAAAGCGUGGGGAGCAAACAGGAUUAGAUACCCUAGUAGUC